UGUGGCUCAGGAGGGAGCUGGAAGAAUAAUUUUCCAGUUGCAAGACUGCCUUUAUAUCUUUCACUCCUCUCAGGCCCAUUCUCUUUCACUUUUGUUCUAGCCCUGGAAUUUCUACCAUUUCAACAUCUUCCAACUCACCUCACUUCAGCUUCCUCCGUAAGGAGUCCUCACACUCACUGGUAGAUGAAGAAUGAAAUGAGGCUAGAAGAUCUAAGAGGAAGCCAGAGCUAUUGUUUUUAAGUGGAAAUCUUUUUGCCCAGCCACCCUGAAGGAAGCAGGGCUGUGAGUGGCCCCAGGGAGUGGAGAGGCCCAUAUGGGUGGAACUGAAGCAUCCUGCCAAUGGCCAGCUCAGCAAGGAUCAUUCAUAGCAGGUCACAGCAGAGACAGCAGCCAGCUGGAAGUCUCACAAGAAAUGUGUCAGGAAGAUAUAUUGUUUAAUGGUGGUGGCUUCUAUCCUCUUCUGAAAUGGUGGUCUGACAGCAGUUUGCACACAGGGAACAAAUCUUUCUUUCACCAUGACAAGAGCACUUCCGACUGUAAGGAAUUGCUUGUAGAAGAAUGGAAGCUAUUGAGUAAACCAGGACUAUUUGAGACAAUAAAUCAAGGAUAUGAAAAUGUAAACUAGUUCUCAAAAAGGAAAAGCAAUGUGUGGUCUGUUUGAUUUUGUGCAGAAUAGCUGAUUUGGGGUAUUUGGAUUUCCCUGCCCUGCCCUUCCUGUGUUAUUAUUGAGCAAAAUCUGACAAGUCAAUCACAUCAUUGUCAUUAUUGUCUCACUUUAUUGAAACAGCACAUCUUAUGAGAAAUCACAGUGGUAGUCAGAAUCUUCAUCUCCUGGAUUAUUUCUUUGUUAUUCAUUUGACCCAUUAAAAUAUACUUACCGUGAGGACAUUUUUGUAAAAGAUGAAAUUUGGGGUGGGUUAUAAUUAAUUCCCUUAAAACAACCUUGGUCCUAACUUCCACCCUAUGUUAUCAUCUAUCUUUAAUUAUUCUGGC